CGAAAAAAUCCGAGAAAAAUCGAUACUGAAAAACCCGAAUUUAUUGGUUUGGUUUGGUCUUUAGAUUUAAUAACCCGACACAAUUGGUUUGGUUUAAUAAUUGUAAAAUCUGAACCAACCCGGUCUAUGUACACCCCUACUUGUAGUAUUAAACAUAUUUUGAUAUUUCUAUAGCUAUAAGAUCAUGACGUCAAGAAUAACAU
rnacentral:lncRNA from 1 species